UAACCAACCUGCCUUGUACUUCGGGAUAACUUAUGGAAACAUAUGCUAAUACCGAAUAAUCUCCUACCCCCGCAUGAGGGUUUGAGCAAAGCGUUCUUGUAGCGGUACAAGAUGGGGUUGCGGUCCAUUAGAUUGUUGGUGGGGUAACGCCUACCAAGUCGACGAUGGAUAGCCGAACUGAGAGGUUGAUCGGCCACAUUGGGACUGAGAUACGGCCCAGACCUCCGUACGGGGAGCAG
rnacentral:rRNA from 1 species